AAGCAGAAGGUGGAGGAGCGACGGUGAGGAUGGAAGUGGACUUCCACGGGAGCAAUGACAACCUACAAAAAGGCCUCCCUUUCCUUCUGGGGAAUUAAAGUCUCUGUCGAUGAAGGACUUUACGGCGCGGACUCUAAAAAAGAUAUUACGUGGCAUCAUGACAAGUGUUGACGUCAACAGCAUGGAUAGGUGGUCUGUUCCUGUCUUUGGUUAUCUAGCUGUAUGAGUAUUAAAUACCUGUCAUAAAGCUAGAUAACCGAAUGUAGGAAUGACUUCCUUUAAAAUUGAAGUGGGGGAAAAAAGAAAUGCAAAAAUAAAUGUGCUUUGGUGUCAAGGAUUUUCAAUUAGCGCCAUUCUUCCUGUAAAAGACAGAAGCAUUGUUCGAGGGGGUAAAAACGAGGACGGGGUCGCCUGCUCUGGGAUGCCAUCUGCGCCGCCAGCGAGAGACGGCGUGCCCAUGCCAGACGGCACACAAAGGCCUUGGCCCGUCGUCACGUUCUGGAGCCAUCUUGGGAGAUGUUGCCGGGAUAUCCAAAAUGGCUGGUGCUGACAUACAAGGAUGGAGAUGGCAAGCUGUGAAACUUCAGCCUGCAGACCUUGGAUUAAACGCAUCAAAAAUAAUCACACAAUGAAUUGUCCAAUCAAUGUUCACAUUUUACAUUUUAAUAAACAUGUUUCUUGUAUUUUCCUGCCUUUUAUUUUGUAAGUUUCUGUUUUUGUUUCUGCUUUUGUUUCCGGUUCCUAUUCCUGCUGGUGCAGGGCGGAGUCUCACCUGUUACUAUUUGCAAUUUGUUUGAAGCCGUGCUGUUUAUAUUUUUUAUAAUUGCCAGCUGAUGGAAUAUUUCUUCAAUUUUCCAUUGGAUUAAUAGUUAUUUUUGACUUCUAUAUUUUCAUGCAGUAUUGAACCAAUACUGCCACCAAGAGGACAAUUAAUGCAACAACAAUAGGCAGCUGAAUUUGCACAUUUUCUGGUCAAAUACGUGGCAACACCUGAGAUGAGGCUGAUUGUAACAAAGACAUCCUAAACUUGGACCAAAACACCUUUGCCACAUUCGCCAUCAGUGUCCACAUACCAACCAUGAUGCCUCCACCUACACCAAAGCAGACGGCCACACAGAUGCCCGCAGCCUGGUGACCCCCCUGCCUCGUCGGUGUCAUGUCUUCAAAGUCACCAUCAAAGUCAAAGACUCGGACGCGGCUGCAGCAGUAAUGGCUCCCACAAUGCCACCGAUAAGACCAGGCAUGGCGUGAAGGUUGUGGACUCCACACGUGUCCUGGAUCUUCAGGUGCUUCUCCAUGAAGGGCUGCAUAAGAAACAUUACAUCAGGACUAGACUAUAAAACAUUCCAAACAAGAAGUAAAAAAAAAAAAAAAAAGCAGUGGUACUUCACAGGGAUGUAACAAUAGGAAAUAACAAAAAUCAAUAGGCACAUUGUUAGAAAACCCACUAGUUUGAAAAUGUUUUGUUUCUUAUGCUUCACUGAUAAUGUUUAAGUCUUAGUAUUUAAUCUGUUUUUAGGUAAACAGUGAAUA